rnacentral:rRNA from 1 species
CCUACGGGAGGCAGCAGUGGGGAAUCUUAGACAAUGGGGGAAACCCUGAUCUAGCCAUGCCGCGUGAGCGAUGAAGGCCUUAGGGUUGUAAAGCUCUUUCAGUGGGGAAGAUAAUGACUGUACCCACAGAAGAAGCCCCGGCUAACUCCGUGCCAGCAGCCGCGGUAAUACGGAGGGGGCUAGCGUUGUUCGGAAUUACUGGGCGUAAAGCGCACGUAGGCGGAUCAGUUAGUCAGGGGUGAAAUCCCGGGGCUCAACCCCGGAACUGCCUUUGAUACUGCUGAUCUGGAGGUCGAGAGAGGUGAGUGGAAUUCCGAGUGUAGAGGUGAAAUUCGUAGAUAUUCGGAGGAACCCCAGUGGCGAAGGCGGCUCACUGGCUCGAUACUGACGCUGAGGUGCGAAAGCGUGGGGAGCAAACAGGAUUAGGUACCAUGGUAGUCCACGCCGUAAACGAUGAGAGCUAGUUGUCAGGGGGCAUCCCCUUUGGUGAUGCAGUUAAUGCAUUAAGCUGUCCGCCUGGGGAGUCCGGCCGCAAGGUUAAAACUCAAAUGAAUUGACGG